rnacentral:rRNA from 1 species
CCCUUAGAUGUCCUGGGCCGCACGCGCGUUACACUGAUGCAUUCAACGAGCUUAUAACCUUGGCCGAGAGGCCUGGGCAAUCUUGUUAACGUGCAUCGUGAUAGGGAUAGAUUAUUGAAAUUAUUAAUCUUGAACGAGGAAUUCCUAGUAAACGCAGAUCAUCAAUCUGCAUUGAUUACGUCCCUGCCCUUUGUACACACCGCCCGUCGCACCUACCGAUUGAAUGGUCCGGUGAAAUCUUGGGAUUUUGUUUUGUUUGCAUUUAUUUGUAUCGAGACGAGAGAACUUGAGUAAACCUUACCAUUUAGAGGAAGGUGAAGUCGUAACA